UGACGUCAUACAGCUGUGCUGCGCUCCUGUUUCUGUGGAUGCGGCUUUAGAAAGGACAAAGUGUCCAAAUACACAGAAGAACUCCUGGCGAAGUGACUGAGAUCCACGUGACACACUUUUAUAAAGAUGGCGUUUAUUAAAGAGGAGAGUGAAGACAUGAAGAUUGAAGAUACAUUCAGAGUCAAACAUGAAGAUACUGGGGAACAGCCAGAUCUUAUGGCACUGAAAGUGGAGAGACAGGAACUGAAUGAAUCAGGAGAGAAAAAUCUAAAUGAUAAGCACUAUAAUUUUAAAACUGAAGAAAAAUCUUUUAGUUGCUCACAGACUGAAAAUGAUUCCUCAACAAAAAUGCCUCAAAAAAACACAAACUCCAAACCUUAAUACCUACUUCUUUCUGAUUCAUACUGUAGAGAGCUCUUUCACCUGCCAACAGUGUGGACAAAUUUUCAAUCAAAAAGAAAGCCUUGAUGUUCACAUGAAAACGCACAUUGAAAAGAACCCAUUAAUAUGCCCUCAGUGUGGAAAGUGUUUUUCACGGAAGUUUUACCUUAAGUCCCACAUGAUCAUUCACUCUGGAGAGAGACCUUACAUCUGCCCUCAGUGUGGAAGGAGUUUCACAAUUAAAGGAAACCUUAAAAUUCACAUUAGAAUUCACACUGGAGAGAAGCCUUUCACCUGCAAACUGUGUGGGAAGAGUUUCUCAUUAAAUAACGGUCUUAAGACUCACAUGAGAACUCACACUGGAGAGAAGCCGUUUGCAUGUGAUCAGUGUGGAAAGAGUUUUACAGAGAAAAAACUCCUUAAUGCCCACAUGAGAAUUCACACCGGAGAGAGUCCUUUCACUUGUGAACAGUGUGGGAAGGGCUUCACACGAAAAGAAACUUUUAAGUCUCACAUGAAGAUUCACACUGGAGAGAAUACGUUCACAUGUGAUCAGUGUGGAAAGAGUGUCAGAUGUAAAGACACACUUAAAAAGCACAUGAAGAUUCAUUCAAGACAGAAAAAUUUUCAUUAGUGAGUUUCAAA